AGGAGGGAUAUAUUCAGGAUUGGGGAGUGAUGGAAUACAUGUAACAGAAUUAUGUAUUUAAAAUACAAAAUAUUAGUAACUGUAUUCCGCUACAAUUACAGUUUAAAUUGUUGGUUAUAAAAAUACAGUUGCAUUCAAAAUGUAUUUUGAUAACUGAAGAGAUUACUUAACAGCAUUUUAUGUGAAAUGUCAUUUGUUCCAUUUAAUAUUUAGUCUAUUCAGUUGGAAAGCCUUUAUCCAUAUAAAUAAUGCGAUCCGAGGUGUAUCUGAACAGCAGUGAAAAUUUGUAUUAAGAUGCGUUACAUUUACACCAGCAAACAGAGAAUACAGGAUAAGGAUUUUUUUUUAAUCAUAUUAUAGUUAUUGAACUGACAACUAUCUAAUUAAAUGUUUUAGAGCUGAGCAUAACUAGAAAAACAAACUAUUAUGACUACAGAACUUUCCAUGACUAGAACUACAAUUCUAAAUUUCCCUUAUAUUACCAGGAUUUCCAUGACCACAGGUAUCCUAUAAUUUAAAAAAGCAGGUUAAAAUAUCUUCUUUGAUGGCAUGUUGUACAUUUGGUUACAAGACACGAUGAGAACCAAUGAAGAUUGAUGUUAUCAACAUCAAACCACCAUAUUCGAUUUAACUGUUUUUCUACACAUAUGGGGUGCUACAAAACCUAGUGAGCUUCCUCCAGAUGUAGCAUUUUAAGGCAUCCUAGUUGAGCUCCCGAAGAGAAGGCUGUUCCAAAAGGUAUGCAUCUUGAUUAUCCUGCCUCCUAAUAUUUCUCGUUUUGGCCAAAUUCUAAGGUAUCAUCGUAUGUAUCCUUCAUAUUGUUUUCACACAGCGGACAAUCCAAGCUUCGAAAAAUCCUGUAGACUUGAAAGUUGGAAUAUUCAAAUGGGCCAAUGGAAUUCUCAUUAAUUUAAACUGCAACUGUCAAAAAUUAAAAUGUAAACAAACCCACAAAAGGCCUUUAAUCUGCUUUAAGAUGUUCUUUUUCUUUCUAUCUAAAUGUAUCAACCGAAGUAUUCCACAAUUCACAAGUCUCCGGUCUGAUCACUUCUCCUGCAUCGACCUAUAUUCUUAGCAGGUUAAAAAAAACAUGUGGCUUUAUAUUGCCUAUACUUCAAAGAAUCGAGAUGACGUUUAUUUUUAAUUUUUUAUACAGAUCCUCAUCGGAGUAUGUAGAUGACAUGAAGCAAUGGUCUUAGGAGUUAGAAGCAAAGCAUCAUGUGGAGUAUUGGAACACCAACCUUGGAGAGAAGAAAUAAAUUGACACACUUCCUCCACACUCCAGUGAGCAGGGUUGCCAGAUAGGAAGGCCACUUGGAGGCCACUUGGUGCAGAAUCAUCCAAUUGAGGGCCACAGUGAGCUGGUCUUGAGCAUGAAAAGGAUGAGCUGGGCAGAUGCCUGCCUGCUAUUUUAGCACAGGCAAUCUCAGAGCUGCUCCUGCGAGGACUCCUGCGUCUAGCAAUAGCAUCCUGCAUCACAGGGCCCCCUGGUGUCCGUUC